rnacentral:misc_RNA from 2 species
GAAAUGCGAUAAGUAGUGUGAAUUGCAGAAUUCAGUGAAUCAUCGAAUCUUUGAACGCACAUUGCGCCCUUUGGUAUUCCUUAGGGCAUGCCUGUUCGAGCGUCAUUUAAACCUUCAAGCUCAGCUUGGUGUUGGGUGACUGUCCGCUUCACCGCGGACUCGCCUCAAAAUUAUUGGCGGCCGGUACAUUGGCUCUCGAGCGCAGCAGAAACGCGUAACUCGAGGUCCUCGUGCUGGCUCCCAGAAGCUAUCUUCACAAUUUUGACCUCGGAUCAGGUAGGGAUACCCGCUGAACUUAA